AGUAGUUUCCCACCGGGCUGAUGCCCAGCAGGGUGCUGGAGCCCAGAUAACUCAGCAGAAGCUCAAGCAACCUAAGCAAGCUAUAGUGAUUUUCAGCUCUUAGUGAUUAUCAGCUCAGUGAUUUUCGGCUCUUUAGCUUGCUAGGUGCUGCAGCAGCAGAUGCAGGGAGAGAGAGGAGAAGACCCUGUGAGGUUCCGCAGGAUUCUUUAUUCAGGUGUUCUGUGAAGGGUCCCAGUGACCGUUCUUCUCCCGAACCAGGCAGAAUCAGGGGUUUUUAUACCCUACAGGGGUUUUGAAAACUGUCCAAUAGUAAGGGUCAGGGGAAAGUGACCUAUGGGCUUACAGAGAGAUAAGCAGGGUCCAAAAGGCAGAAGAGAGGGGCUGCUAAGGUCCAGUCAUGCUGACUUGUCAUUUCCUAGCUCAGGCUUCUGACCUCCAAGGAGGCCUUGCAGGCCUUGAGCCUGCUACACGGGACCUUUCCCUAGGAAACAAAACUCACCAGCCCACUUUCCUGAUGUCUGUUUCCAGAAGGCCCUUGGGACUCUCAAGCAGCCUGAGUUUCCUUUGGUCUGGAAGGCAUCCUGCCGAUUUGUGGAACCUCAGCAACGAGCUGGUUACUCAGAGUCACAGGUCCCUGAACAAAAAUGCUGGCCUUUUCCCUAGGAAAAAAUACCUCAACAGCCCAGGCACCGGGUGUCAGUUUGAAGAUAACAUUUGAAGAAAGGACGUGAUGAAGACCCCUGCUAUUGACACUUUGACUACCAACAACUGUCACCUGCUGAAACCACAGAACAGGGGGCCGUUGUGAGGAGGUGACACACAACCCUCAAAACCACAUCUACAGUUACUGCACAUGCUCUAAAAAGGGAAUCUGGAUCCACUGAGGACCAUCUCCUUUGACUCUCAUUCCUCCCAGCCUCCCUCCCCAGCCCUGGUAAGGCUUUAAUGCUGAGGUGUUUAACAAAUGAAUAUACCUUUAUGCACUGUGCCUGUCUUCCCCAAGACCUUACUGAAAUGUUGUCAGAGGCAGAGGAGAUACAUUGCAUGGCCUUAUCAUCAAGAAAAAAACCCCCGUGUAUUGACAAAG